rnacentral:lncRNA from 1 species
CUCGGGGCGCCAGUCUUAUUGGAUUAAGAGAGCCGAAUGGCUACUAGAUUUCUUAUUUGGAUACUUAAGUGACCAGACUGGAGGUAAGGUCCCUGGUCGAGCAUUGCUCUCGGGGCGCCAGUCUUAUUGGAUUAAGAGAGCCGAAUGGCUACUAGAUUUCUUAUUUGGAUACUUAAGUGACCAGACUGGAGGUAAGGUCCCUGGUCGAGCAUUGCUCUCGGGGCGCCAGUCUUAUUGGAUUAAGAGAGCCAAAAUGGCUGUUAGAAUUUGGGGUUAGGGUUCUAUUUAGCCACACGUCCCGUGAAAGUAAAAAUGUCUUUAUUUAUUUACACUCUCUUCUUUUAUCAUUUUAUUAUUAUGGUGUAUGAUUAUAUAUUAUGAUUGCAAUUAUAUUCAGAAAUUGGUAUAUUGUUCUGAAUAAUUAAUAUAUCAUGUGAAGGUUGCAAUAGUCCUUAGAUUAUUUGAUUUUGACUCACUCUCGAGACUGACAGUCUCAGUUGUAAUUUUUUUCAGGUGAUAGUUAAAGACCUUCGCCAUCGCACAUUCGACAGUCCGACUUCUUCUUCUUCGGACUUUUGUAAUUAUCUUGUACUUCUAUACUUGUCAUUUUUACUCUAGAGUAUCCGCAGU